rnacentral:miRNA from 1 species
UCCCUGUCCUCAAGGAG